rnacentral:tRNA from 1 species
GCCUUUGUGGUGCAAUGGUCAGCACGCUGGGCGCGUAUUCCAGAAGUCCGUGGUUCGAGUCCCGGCGAAGUCA